CGAGUCUUUGUAGUAAUACAAGGCAGACGGCUCAGUAACACGUAGUCAACCUACCCUAUGGACGAGAAUAAUCUCGGGAAACUGAGCAUAAUUCUUGAUAGAUCAUAAUGCCUGGAAUGGUUUAUGAUUAAAAUGAUUCGUCGCCAUAGGAUGGGACUGCGGCCUAUCAGCUUGUUGGUGAGGUAAUGGCCCACCAAGGCGAUUACAGGUACGGGCUCUGAGAGGAGAAGCCCGGAGAUGGGUACUGAGACAAGGACCCAGGCCCUAUGGGGCGCAGCAGGCGAGAAAACUUUGCAAUGUGCGAAAGCACGACAAGGUUAAUCCGAGUGACUUCUGCUAAAGAAAUCUUUUGCAAGUCAUAAAACCACUAGUGAAUAAGGGGUGGGCAAGUUCUGGUGUCAGCCGCCGCGGUAAAACCAGCACCUCAAGUGGUCAGGAGGAUUAUUGGGCCUAAAGCAUCCGUAGCCGGCUCUGUAAGUUUUCGGUUAAAUCCAUGUGCUCAACGCAUGGGCUGCC
rnacentral:rRNA from 1 species